AUGGAAAACUGUGGCCGACAGGAUUACCCACAAUACCUGCUGCUGCUGUCUGAGCCUCUAAUUAGUGACGUCAGUCUGUGGGUGGGUGUGAUUAAAGGGCAGAACAAGAACAGGAAGGAUGGUUUGAAACCGAGGAAAACAAGAAUGGAAUGGUUCUCCAGCAACAAUCCAGCUGUCAACAAUAUCCUGGACGUCUUUCAAGCCACAGCUCUGCCGGCUACCUGUCCGCCAGCUCCUGGACCUGUGGCAGCUACCUUUCAAGUCGUCUCACUCCUCCCCUGGAGCUCGCUACCCCCUCAGAUCUCGCCUGGCACCCCCAACCUGUCUGACAGCCUUGGAAUCCCCGUUUGUCUUCCAGAGCCUGACGAGCCUGAGAUCAACCACCACACGCCGCCGUGCACCUUAACCUUUAAAUAAAUCUGUUUAUUUCUUUUCCCGAGUCGUGACUCGUCACGUCCUGGGUCACACGCCUCCUUCCGGACAUGACGGUCUAUUAUUCUAUCGUUGCUGAAAGACACGAUGUGCGGUGUGUGUAUUUGUGUUCGGUAACUAGUUGUACAUAAUAAAAUCGAUAAAACGAGUAAUUACUGACCUUGUGCAUCAUGUUACAUACAUCCUGGGCUUUUUCAGCGGAUGUUCGGUGGAAUAUUGUGAAUAAAACUGCAGAUUCUGGUGCGGCUGAAAGGAUUCCUGAAUGUGGAACUGAUGGGCGAUGAUGAAAGUCGGUACUUUAGGAUUAUCGGCCGUGCCGUUUGUCUGAAUGAUGCUGCAGCAGGAUGAGAGAGGAGGCCGUGACCCGGAACGACUUCCUGCUCCCAUCCUGAGCAAGCUGUGUGUGUGUGUGUGUGUGUGUGUGUGUAGUCACAAUCUGAGAGAAAAACAUCUAAACUCUUCAUUAAAUUAACCAACUACCUUAAAAAAUUGGGUUUUAUUUGCUUUCUACAUAAUACGUUCAUUCAAACCAGUCAGAAGUUGAACUUCAUCGGAUGUAACUGUCAGUUUUUAAAUGAAUGACGCUACGAUCGGCGCUCCAUGAGCGACAUGCUGAACGUUGUUGUGAGCGGCUGCAGACUCUCAUUAACGUACAGGAAGUCGUUUGGGGGAUGCUCAGUGAGUAGAGGACUGAAUGCUCUGCAGGCUUUAGCUGUUCAGUAAUAAACUGGAAAUCAGCUCAUGUUCUGAAGACUACCGAGCAGCUGUUGCUCCCCAAAGUCAAAGGGAUUACAGUUUCAUUACGUAAGAGGAUAAAAGGCAGCGGCAGCGUCUCUGUUGGUCAGCUGCAGAGCGACAGCAGGUCAUUCCGCAGCGUGACUGGAACAUCAUCACUCUGAAACAGCCCAGCCACAUCUCCAUUCCCUCUGGUCUCACUUUAACUCAAAUCUGCAGAUGAUGUCAGGAGUGUGUUUCUGCUGCGUGUCCACCGAGUUGUGGACAGAGAGAACAGCGGGGCUUUGUGUGGAUGUGCUGGAGCUGACCGUGCUGGGAGAGUUCUGUCUGUUCGUCAGGGUUUACGCAGCAGACAAGCUGCAGAACAAACCCCCCGCCAUCAGCGCCGAGACGAUCUGGAUCUCUGACUGCCGGCCAGACGGGCCUGACAGCUCCAUUUAAUCCAUAAAAAUAACAGCCUGCUUACCGGGGCUUUUCUCCCUGACUUCCUCCAACUCGUUCUGACGCAGCAGAGGGUCUGCUUUCCUGUUUCUGGUGCUGAAACACGUACAACACAUACCUAAAGUCAUUAAGCACUUUGCAUUCAUCCACAAUAAUCCAACUCCACUGAAACGUGGAUGACGAGCAGCAAGUAUGUGAGCAAACACAUGUUUAAAGAGCAAGUCACCCCCUACCAGAUUAUUACUCAACUCCCACUUCCUGUUUGAAAAAUGCAACAAAUGCUGUUGCCUAGCAGCUCGAGAGGGCGGAGCUGCUAACAAAUACACACACUCACGACAUUGUGACAUCAUAAUGUACCAUCUAACAUCAUAGCAUACCUCUUAGCCAAUAGGAUGGCAGAUUUAAAUUCAAACGCAGUGCUGAGUUCUUACCCGACGACGGUGCAUCGCUGACAGUUUUAGGCAGAAAAUUUAAAUUGUAACUAAGAUGCACUAAAGUGCCGAAUUAUUGACUACACAUGUCUACGGCACGAUUAGACACUCGUUUAUUUAGUUUAUCAGCAAAAAAAAAUGUUGAUUUGAAGUGACUUGCUCUUUAAGCACCAUCUUGAUUGAAUGUACUGAAUUUUGAUCAAAUCAAAAUCAAACAUGAUCAGUUCAGGUUUGGUCGGGGUUUGACUUUCAUGAUUUUAUUAGAGUAACACUAACCAGUUUCCUGCUCCUCCGCCCUACUGGUUUAAAGUGGAUUUACAACUGUCGUAAAGAACCUUGCCACAGCCUUGUUGUGUUUUAUAGUACCGUAUUAAUUUUGUUGUGUUUUUAUUGUGACUUUUAACAGCGUGGAGCUCUGAAAGCCUGUUUUAGCCGAUGAUGUAUUACUGUAUUUGUGCUGCUGGAUUAAAUGCAUUGUUAUUGAUUCUUCCUGUCCAGGGACUACAGAUGAAAUGUUGCUUAUAGCUCACUCUGUUACGGCUGAAUGCCAUGCACUGUCCCUGUCAAAUAAACAAAUAAACAAAAACAAAUCAAACACGCCUGUUGUAGCUACCGCUAACAAUGAGCUAACGCUAACAUGAGCCAGCUGAUACUAAAUAAGCCAAUGGCGAAGAAAAUUCAACAGUGUUGGACAAAAAUAUCAUUACUUACAAGUCCAGCAGCAACAAAGACAGGUCACCAUCAGUCCGUUGCCUCCAUCAGCUUCCUCAAACGAAUGUAGGCCGUGCAGAUUUUCACUCUGGUUUUAGCUCUUUGCUUCACCUCUGAGAACAUAAUUCCCUUACUUUAACAUCCAGGCUCCGCCAUGGUGGCAAAGAAAAAGCUAACUUAUUUUUUUCUUUUUCUUGUGUUUUUUAUUGACAUUCAAGAAACUUAGGCCCUGUCCACACGUAGCCGGGAAUCUGCCAAAACGUAGAUAUUUUUCUACGUUUUGGCCUGUCAUCCACACGAAAACGGAUCUUUUUAAAAACUCCGGCCAAAGUGAAGAUCUGCGUUUUCUCCGUUUUGGGUGUCUGCGUGUGGACGGACAAAACCGGAGUUUUAAGGUCCUCAACAUCACUUUCCGCGACAAAAAAAUGCUGACAUCACGUGUGCGACCUGUGUUUACACUAGCCGACAGCAUGGAUGCCCUCAGAGCUGCGCUCACUUUAUCAAUUGUCCAAGCGCUUUUUGCUUGUUUUUUUUUUUUUACUUUAUUUAACAAACAAUGAGUAUACAACAUAGAAACGAAUGAAGUAUACAAAACAACAGAAUAUGAACACACAAAGCCAGGGGUAAAAGAAAAAAGUAACAAUUAUAAGAAUACACGCAAAAACUCACAUAUAUAUAUUGUUUUGAGAGCCUUUUUGUUGGUGGAUUCUGAUAUUGAUUUUAUGUACAAUUCCACAUCCUUAAAAAAAUGACAGAAAUAUGGUGUUUUGUUGGUAAACUUACAUUUGUGAAUAAAGAAUUUAGCUAAGAGUAUUAACAGAUUUAUCAUAAAAAANNNNCACACGAAAACGGAUCUUUUUAAAAACUCCGGCCAAAGUGAAGAUCUGCGUUUUCUCCGUUUUGGGUGUCUGCGUGUGGACAGACAAAACCGGAGUUUUAAGGUCCGCAACGUCACUUUCCGCGACAAAAAAAUGCUGACAUCACGUGUGCGACCUGUGUUUACACUAGCCGACAGCAUGGAUGCCCUCAGAGCUGCGCUCGCUUUAUCAAUUGUCCAAGCGCUUUUUGCUUGUUUGUUUUUGCAAGCGGAAUUACUGCUCCUUGCGGAAGACCACAGACGAAGGACGAGGUUAAGAACGGGGGAAGUACUGCCGCCUACAGGUCUGGCAUGUCCUUAACAACGUAUUUAUCCGGGUACGUGUGGACAGAGUUUUUUUUUUUAAACGAGGUGGUGUGGAUGCAAGUUUUUGGAGGGGCGGAUAUUGGUUUAAAAAAAACCUGGCUACGUGUGGACUAGGCCUUAAAAAAGGUAACUGCUAGCCUUUUAUUAGCAACGGACACAGAAAACAUCUAACGUCCGUUAAGCAAGUAGAGGCACCCCCUGGGGUUCCUACCCGCUCCACUAAACUGUUCAGCGUUGUUUCUGGUCAGUAGAGCGAUGUAGGGUGCUGUAGCAGGAAUCACUGAACCCCACUUUUAAAGGAAUUGUGUAAAAGCUGCUUUAAAGGUGGUCUCCUUUGUGUUUGAACAGCUCAGAAAACCUGUACGAGCAUGUCCUCUAACUGUCAGGAGUCAGGCGUGUUUAGCCACUU
rnacentral:lncRNA from 1 species